GUGGGGAAUAUUGGACAAUGGGCGAAAGCCUGAUCCAGCCAUGCCGCGUGUGUGAAGAAGGCCUUCGGGUUGUAAAGCACUUUAAGCGAGGAGGAAGGUUCGUCACCUAAUACGUGACGGAAUUGACGUUACUCGCAGAAUAAGCACCGGCUAACUCUGUGCCAGCAGCCGCGGUAAUACAGAGGGUGCAAGCGUUAAUCGGAAUUACUGGGCGUAAAGCGCGCGUAGGCGGUUGUGUAAGUUGGAGGUGAAAUCCCCGGGCUCAACCUGGGAACUGCCUCCAAAACUGCAUGACUAGAGUACGGUAGAGGGUAGUGGAAUUUCCUGUGUAGCGGUGAAAUGCGUAGAUAUAGGAAGGAACACCAGUGGCGAAGGCGACUACCUGGACUGAUACUGACACUGAGGUGCGAAAGCGUGGGGAGCAAACAGGAUUAGAUACCCCGGUAGUCC
rnacentral:rRNA from 1 species